rnacentral:rRNA from 1 species
UACGUAGGGCGCAAGCGUUUGUCCGGAAUUAUUGGGCGUAAAGAGCUCGUAGGCGGCUUGUCACGUCGGAUGUGAAAGCCCGGGGCUUAACCCCGGGUCUGCAUUCGAUACGGGCAGGCUAGAGUGUGGUAGGGGAGACUGGAAUUCCUGGUGUAGCGGUGAAAUGCGCAGAUAUCAGGAGGAACACCGGUGGCGAAGGCGGGUCUCUGGGCCGAUACUGACGCUGAGGAGCGAAAGCGUGGGGAGCGAACAGG